UACGUAGGGGGCGAGCGUUGUCCGGAAUUACUGGGCGUAAAGAGCUCGUAGGUGGUUUGUCGCGUUGUUCGUGAAAUCUCACGGCUUAACUGUGAGCGUGCGGGCGAUACGGGCAGACUAGAGUACUGCAGGGGAGACUGGAAUUCCUGGUGUAGCGGUGGAAUGCGCAGAUAUCAGGAGGAACACCGGUGGCGAAGGCGGGUCUCUGGGCCGUAACUGACGCUGAGGAGCGAAAGCGUGGGGAGCGAACAGG
rnacentral:rRNA from 1 species